rnacentral:rRNA from 1 species
AACGAACGCUGGCGGCAUGCCUAACACAUGCAAGUCGAACGAGACCUUCGGGCCUAGUGGCGCACGGGUGCGUAACGCGUGGGAACCUGCCCUUAGGUUCGGAAUAACUCCACGAAAGGGGUGCUAAUACCGGUUAAUGUCUUCGGACCAAAGAUUUAUCGCCUUUGGAUGGGCCCGCGUUGGCUUAGCUAGUUGGUAGGGUAAAAGCCUACCAAGGCGACGAUCCAGAGCUGGUCUGAGAGGAUGAUCAGCCACACUGGGACUGAGACACGGCCCAGACUCGUACGGGAGGCAGCAGUGGGGAGUGUGGGACAUGGCACGAAAGCCUGACCGAGCAGUGCCGAGUGAAUGAUGAAUGUCUUUGGGUUGGAGAGCUAUGGUGCCCAGGCUGAUAAUGACUGGACUGAGAGAGGAAGGCCAGGCUAACUCCGUG